ACUAUUAAUUUAUUUGCUUGUUUUUAUUUUUUAUUUUUUUUUUACUUGCACUACAUCACAUUUCACACGGAUAAUGAAAUAUUUCAAUCAAAAUAUUUUAUAAGGAUUAUUUGUAAAUAACCACCCUUAAAAGCACCCUUUGUUGAACUAACCACCCGUUUUUUUUUCGAAAUUAAAAUAUACCACCCUUAAAGUCAAAACCAGAAGAUAUCACCACCCUUCCCCAAUUUCAACCAGUGUUCCGACUAAGGGUAUACAUGCGCCACGAGUUUGGUCAAAACUAAAAAAAUUUAAAAAAAAAAAAUUAAAUUAAAAAAAACCCGGCACUCCCCCAUCUCCUACCACCCCACCCAAAUCAGCCACCUGCUAGACCACCCCCACCCCAACCAGCCACUUCUCCUGCCGGCGAACCCCAUCAAACCCUAUCCCUUGCUCGCAAAACCCCACCAAACCCCCACUCAUGCCCACGAAACCCCACCGCCCCCUCCCCUGCCGCAAAACCCCAUCCCUAGCUGACCUCGAAAUCACCCCAUCCCCGAUGGCUGUGGAGACCGAUGCUUCAAUUGACACAGAAUUCACGUUGCUCGUUCCUCCACGUCGCCGCUUCCUCUGCUAAUUCCAAGGUGGUUGAAAUUCUAGUUGAAGUUGAUUCUCAGGGAAGGUGAUUAAUGACAAGGUUGAAGAAGGCUACCCCCAAUUCAUUCUGCUUCUAAAAGGCUGGGCCAGAAACAGAGAUGGGGAAGGAGGGGAUUGCUGGAAACGGAAACGGGGAAGGGGAGAGGGUGUUGGAGGUGGCAAAGUUGCCACUACCGGCACUACAAAUAGAUGUCCAUAUAGAAAAGGAAUUCUAGCGACGGAAUUAAAAAAUCCGUCUCUAAAUUAGAAACGAAAUUGAAAAUCCGCUCUAAAUUAAAAACGGAUGUUUUUCUCCGUUGCUAAAUUAGAAAUGAAUUUUUUUUUCCGUUGCUAAAUUAGAGACAGAUUUUUUUUUUCCGUUGCUGAUAUGAGCAAUGGAUUUUUAAUUUCAUCACUAAAUUAUUUUCGAAGCAAAUUAUGUAAAAUAUUACUUUAGAGAGGAAUUAUGUAAACUUAUCCGUCUCUAAAAUAGAAACGGAUUUGGAAAUCUGUUUCUAACUAGAGAUGGAUUUUAAAUUUCGUCUUUAAUAUUUCUUUCACUUAUUAUCAA